GUCGGUAAAACUCGUGCCAGCCACCGCGGUUAUACGAGUGGCUCAAGUUGAUAGUCCGCGGCGUAAAGGGUGGUUAAGGAGUAUAUAGAAAUAAGGUCGAACCCCCGCACAGCUGUGAUACGCACCCGAGAGUGUGAAGCCCAACUACGAAAGUGACUUUAAAGUACCUGAACCCACGAAAGCUGAGAAACAAACUGGGAUUAGAUACCCCACUAUG
rnacentral:rRNA from 1 species